AAUCUUCUGCAAUGGUCGUCGGUCUGACGGCGUGAUGCCGCGUGAGUGAUGAAGGUCUUCGGAUCGUAUAAUUCUGUCGUUAGGGAAGAACAAGGAUCGUUGUAAUAUGUCGGUACCUUGACGUUACCUAACCAGAAAGCUCCGGCUAACUAAGUGCUAGCAGCCGCGGUAAUACGUAGGGGGCAAUCGUUGUCCGGAAUUUUUGGGCGUAACGGGCACGAAGGCGGUUAUAUUAGUCUGAUGUGAAAUCUUGUGGCUUAACCACAAGCGGUCAUUGGAAACUGGAUAACUUGAGUACAGAAGAAGAGAGUGGAAUUCCACGUGUAGCGGUGAAAUGCGUAGAGAUGUGGAGGAACACCAGUGGCGAAGGCGGCUCUCUGGUCUGUAACUGACGCUGAGGUGCGAAAGCGUGGGUAGCGAACA
rnacentral:rRNA from 1 species